AGGGGUUACGGUUCCGUUAACGGCCAACCCAGAAACAGAGGAAGACACAAACGAAAGUGAAAAGCGGCUGGAGAAUGGAGCAGAUGAAGCCAGUGGAUCCAACUGUCCUAAAGAUGAGUCAAAGGCUGAGGAAGUACAGACAGCCAGUGCUUUAGGAUG